rnacentral:rRNA from 1 species
UACGUAGGGUGCGAGCGUUGCCCGGAUUUAUUGGGCGUAAAGAGCUCGUAGGCGGCUUGUCGCGUCGACUGUGAAAACCCGCAGCUCAACUGCGGGCUUGCAGCCGAUACGGGCAGGCUAGAGUUCGGUAGGGGAGACUGGAAUUCCUGGUGUAGCGGUGAAAUGCGCAGAUAUCAGGAAGAACACCAAUGGCGAAAGCAGCUCUCUGGGACGGUACUGACGCUGAGACGCGAAAGCGUGGGGAGCGAACAGG